rnacentral:misc_RNA from 1 species
GGCUGCCAGGGUGGGUGCGGU